GUUCUGCGCUGUGAGCCGGGGCACAAAGAGAGCCCUCUGCACCUCGUGCCGCAGGACCGCGGACCCGAGGUUAUCUCCCUGCUCAUUCUUGUGGUUCCAGAUGUGUUCACGUGGCUGCCAUGACCCCAACAACAGCAAAGGAGUGGCCAAGGUGAUCCUCCCUCUCCUGGGCACACAGUGGGUGGCUGAGAUCAGCUCCAUGUGAUGCGGGUGGGUCCACCAGGAAAUCCGGACGCGCUGAGACCGUCUGCCGCAGAGAGUACAGCAGUUCCUGGGACAGAAGAAGGAGAAAGGAAUUUUGAGCUCCUCUGGGAUAUUCUCAACCACAGUGGGAAGCAGCCUUGCAGAUAAGUAUUCCAACUUACCAGCCACAGCCUGCCAGCCUGCCCUCUCCUGGUCUGUGCAGGAAAUUGCACUGGCCUAGCAUAUCAAAGUGGGAGGGGGAAUGGGUGGUCAGCCCAUUCACUUUUCUACCUCUAGGCCAGAAAGAAAGAGCUUGUCCCUGUCUUCUGGAGCCUCAGAAAAGGUGCUUUUCAAAUCCCACUUUUGACACCAGAGAUAAUAUUUUAUUAACUCCACUGCCUGAAACUUGCAUGCAGCCGAGCUAAGUUAGUUCAUCUCGUGUACUGUAGAUCUGAUGUUGGAAGGGGGCUAGGGAGCCCCUGAUUUGGACUGGCUCUUUUCUGCUUGGUUCUGACCUUUUGCACUCAAAUUUAUAAAACGGCAGAGGCUCCUUGGUUUUGCAGUUAGAUGGGGAACCUCAGUGCCCUGAUUCUUCUCCGAGCAAGGGUCUGGGUACCUUUCCAGCUGUGGGCCCAUCCCAAGCCCCUGGUGCUGACAACGAGCUCUGGAACUCUGCUGGAAGGACGGCAGCCUCUCCUGGCCUGGCCUGCCAGUUGAGGAAGCUAGUGGAACCGUCACUAAAUGCCAAGACCUGGGGAUCGUCCUGAGUCAGGAUGAGUGGGCCUUCCCUGGCCUUCUCCAGACUGGUGAAAUAGGGUGCUCUUAAAAGAACCCUGCCUCACCCUCUGGCUCCCCAAGUUUCCUUGGGUACAUGGGGUUCUCAGGGGAAGACAGGAGGAGCAGAAAAACAACCAAGGCUGGGCAGAGGGCCCUUCCUAGUUCCCAUCCAGUGCCUCAAAGGAUGUGUCACGGCUAUGCAGCUUGGGUGAUUGUUGGAGCUGGAAGGGUCCCGGGGCCCAGUGAGAGCCACCGACUUCGCAGGGCCACACAGCAUGGUAGGGGCAGACCUGGGGUCAGAAUUCUGCAUUCCUGAAUCUGUCUGGCUCGUGCUCAGCUGUCAUCAAGCUGCCAAGUUUGCUGUCCUUUCUCCUGAGUCCCUCUCUGCUGCUAUUGUGGAACAGGGAGGUGGGUGAAGGGAGCCACUGCUCUCCCCUCCCCUCCUCUACCCAAUGAUGCUCUGGGCAGGGAGGAAGGGAGGUGGUGGGCAGUGCUUGGGCCCAGCCUCCCUGGCUCCUGGGCCUCUUUGUGGUCAGCAGAGUGUUCUGGCCAGCCCUGGCCUGGGGAGGGUCCUGGGUGCGGUUUUCUCCUGCGUCGUGGUUGGUUCUUCUGUCUUCCAGAAUGGGCCUGUGGGGUCCGUGUGGGGAAGAAGCUGGGAGCCGGGCCUGGGCUGGACGCUGCCAGCGCAAACGUGGACCAUGCAUCUUCUCCGAGCUGGACGCGUGGGGAGCCAGUGAACACCAGAGAGGCAGAGUCACCACUCUGAUCUUCAUAUAAGAACGUGUUCAUCCCAGCCUUGGUGAAGGGGCACCUCUGUCCCUGCUGCAUCUCCAGGAUUCCUGCCUGGUCUUCUCUUUGGAGCCCCGUGAUGCUGGAUCUUGGCUGCGGUACCAGGGAGCAGCCUUCGGUGGUUUUCUGGAACGCUGGGCAAGUCCCUGAAGACCUCAUCCUUCCCCACGUCUGCGAAGGAGGCCCUCGUGGAUUAGAGUGCUCCUUAGUAGAUGCUUCGGCCUGCCUGGAGGACAGCUUGAGGGGUAGGAGGGAGGCCGGCAGCCCAGGCCCCCUCCCCACCUGUCGGGCUCACCUGUUGGGCCCACCUGCGGGGCCCUCCACUCUCAGGCUGGGGGCCACUUCUUGACACCUUGUGGUCCCACUUCUUCCUUGUAUCUCUGCUGCCAGCUGGGAGGCCCCACUGACCACUCUCCCCAAGGCUGGGUCUCAGAGGCCCCUACAGGGUGGGGAAGAAGCAGGGUUAGGAGCUGGGGAGGGGCUGCCAGUGGGAGGACAGACAGAACUCCUUGGGGUGCUGCUGGCUGGAGCCUAUGCCAUUUGCCCUGUGAGUGAUUGUCAUUUUGGGGGGCUUCCUGGGUUGGGCUUUUUCCAUUGCUCCUGAUGGUUGCAGGGAGGAGGCAGGCGGGGCCUGGGAGGGGCCUGGGCGCUUCCUUCCAGCCCUGGAGAGGUAGCUGGAGGGGCAGAAAGGGUACUAUCUGGAAAAGAGAAGGUUUCUAAGAAUCGAGGAGACUCAGGCCAGGAGAAUUCACUAGAAAGAACCAGACAACCUCGGGUCUUAGGAUUAUUGUCUGGAAAGAACCAGCCUCAUUGCGAAGGCUGGAAGGGGUACCUAAACCCCGUAUGGGGACACUGCCCCAGUCAGACCCUCGCUGUUCUUGCUCUGCUCCUGGAUUCUGCUCUUGGGAGCAGAGGCUUGCAGGACGGGCCUUCACAUCCACCUCUCCAUGUGUGUGGUCUCCCUCCCUCCCCCGCCUCUCUGUUCUCCAUCCUGAGUACAUGCCCUGCAGAGGGGACAGCCCUAGUGCUUGUAAGAGAGCAGCUUUGGGUCCAAAGCUCUACGUCCUUUUUAUAGGGAGAGGAGGAGGUAUGUAUUUGUCAACUCCAGCUGCCACCGAUAGGGUGGCUUAAACACCAGACACUUCUCCACAGUUCUGGAGGCUGGGAAAUCCAAGAUGAGGUGUCAGGGUUGGUUUCUGGUGAGGCCUCUCUCCUGGGCUUGCUCUGUCCUCACAUGGCCCUUCUCUGUGGGUUAAGAGAGGGAGAGAGCGCUCUCUGGCGUCUCUUCUUGUAAGGACAUCAGUUCUGUGAGACUCCAGCUCUAGCCUAUGAUCCCACUGACCCUCCAUCCACCACUCACAGGCCCUGUCUGCUAAUACCGCUACAUGGAAGUAGCCAUUCAACAUACGCGCUACUGAGGAGUGGGGACAGUUCCGUUAAUAACAGAGUGAUCACCAAACACAUGGGGAGCUGGCGCCACCCCCACAGGCAGGAGGAGGAGCAGAGGCACAGAACGUAGACAGGGCUAAUUGCCGGCUGGCGGGGGCCAGGUGUUCCUCAGGGGCCCACGGAGCUGGAUGGGCUUGGUACAGAGAGAGGGCCCCUCAGCAGAGUCUGUCCCAAGCAGAUCCUGUACAGCCUGGCACGGCACUUCCCCUCUGUGAGCCUCAACUUCCAUGCUGGGACAGGAGAGCCACACGCAGGGCUGGCAGGUGCAGAGAGGACUCAGUGGGAUCGGGAACCUGGCACGGAGCCUGGCUGUUAGGAGGCCCUCAGUAAAUUCUCCCAUCCAUCCAGGAGUUUAGGUUUAAGGCUGAUCUACUUUUAGUGCUCUGGGCUGUAAAACUCAGCAUCUCUGGGCCAGGGAUAGUUCUGCUUAGCCCUUUUCCUGCCUGGUUUCUUAAUAUCCCUUUCUAAUGAGCUGGGAGAAGGGAUUGCUGAUCAUAGCCUCCAUAGGAGGUUGCAUUGUCCUGGGGUAUUUCAGUCCUACUCUCGCCAGAAUCGAGCACCUACUGCAGGCCUCUUCCUGUACUAGCCCUCGCAGAGAGUAGGCGUCACGGCCAUGGCUCAGACCUUCAGGAUUUCACAGCCUUGCAGACAGGCGAGAACCAGCUUACGUGGGGCAGUGCAAGAAAGCAGUCUGCUGAGGCUCAGGUUCUGAGUGCUUGGAAGGAGGUGGUGAGACCCCAGAGGGGCUUGCAGCCCUUUCCAGUAAGCUUGAAAAUUCUACAGGUUUCUGUAAUGCAGGACUUAUCAGAGCCUUUAAAAUGCGAAUGGGAAUUUCAGAUACUUGGGGACAGGACAGAAAACGCAGGGUUCCCCUAUUUUUCUGAUCACAGAAUCCUUUCUUUAUGAAGCACCAUUUAGAACAGUGGGAGAUGCUAGGCUGGGGCUUCCAUGAAUUAAAUACAGCCGAGAUAGGAAGCAGCAUAUCUAGGGUGUGGGCAAGUGCUUUGUGGCAUUGGCUGGAAAGGACGCAGACCAGGAGGGCCCAAGAGCCAGGCUGGCUUGCUGCAGUUUUUGUAUGGGGAGAAGACAGGCCACGGUGGAGAAGCUAGAGGCCUCAUGGCCAGCUGGAAGAGAUGUCCACCAAGAAUGGUGGGUUUAGGGGAUCAGAUCGUUUGUGCAAAGAUCCUGGUGUGUGUAUGUGCGUGUGUGUGUGCCUGAGUGUGACAGAGCCACAGCAUCCAGCCCUGUGGGAAGGGGCUGACCAGACCCCAGCAGGGGGUUACUAUCCAGGACAAGCAGGGUCAAUUUUCAGGGACCUGAGAUGUUUAGCAGGGGGCCUGUGAGAAACACAGCCAAGAAACAGGAAGCAAAAUGCUUCUGGGUAGGAUCUACGUAGUUAGGCUUGAUUGUGGUGGGACUGACGGGCUUAGAGGUGGACCCCCUGCCCUGGUCAGACCCUAGUCCCGGGCUGGUGGGAGUGGGAGGCCUCUGGAGCUGCAGCUGGAGGGGCCGGGGCAGUGUUGCAUGGUGUGAUUAACCUACUAACCCAGGGCUCGGCCGGGUCGCUGCAGCGUGUGAUGAGGUGCCUGGCCUUCUGCCAAUCGACUAACCCACUAACCAGGCCCGAGCAUGCCCUACUAACCUCCCUGCAGCCAGACCCUACUAACCGUGCAGCUCAUAGGCCUUUCAAGGGGCUGGGACAGGGGGGCAGACGAGGCUCUGAAGGCCCUGCCUGUGGGCAGGGAUCUUUGUGCAGACCCACAUUCCAGGACAGGGCAUGCAAACAGGACUUGCCAAUGCUGCCACAUCCUGCUGGUGGCUUCGAGCAAGUUGCCUUCCUUCUCUGAACCUUGGUUUCCUCAUUGGUAGAAUGGGAGUAUUGAUACCUCACAGUGAGGAAUCCCAUGCAUAUAAAGGUCCUGGCACAUGUUGGAUACUUAAGACACAAAAGAAGAGUGAGGGUGAGGGUGGGAGCCCUAGAAAACCUGGUGGAUCAUGUCCCCUGCCUAGACUCUGGUGUCUCUGGGCGUUCUGCACACAGACCCUUCUGCCUGGGGCCAGACACUCGCUUUGUAUCCCUAACUGUCUCUUCCCCACAUUCUUCCUCCUUCCCAGCUUUCUUUUUUCAUAGGCAGUUCUUUUGUUUGAUUACUAACCUGUCUAACCCGGGGGUGCCUCAACUGCACCCCAACCAUCCCUAACAAACUAACGGACCUGUGUGUGUUCUUCCUUUUCUCCUAGCGAUUCCUGUAUGUGUCUGCUGAGGUGCCCCUGUUCGCUGGUGCUGUGCUCUGACUUACUAACCCCGCCCUACUAACCCUGUUUUCUCUUCUUACUAACCCCAGCCCUGCCGAGCUCUGGGCCCCCCCUGGGGGCUGGUCCUCCCUCCUUUUGGCAAGCAGAUGUCCUGGGGCUGGCCCUGCAAACAGAUGUCCCACUUUGUUGUCCCACAGUGACUGAGAUCAGAGUCCAUUGGGCCAGGUCUGAGGCAGGGGGUGGCUGUAUUAACCACACCCAGAGGAGGAGGAGGUCCUGUGGAUGUGGAGCUGGGCUCCGAGCAUGACAUCUCUCCUCUGUGCAGAAGUCUGGUUGCCACUGGGAGCGGAUGGGGCCAGGGAAACCUCUGGGGUGUGAGUGUGGAGGCCUGUGGGUCUGGAAUGUGGAGCUCUGGGCUUUUCCAGCCAAGGAUAGAGAGAAGGGCCCCACAAUCCCCUUUCUGAAAGGAAGCCAGGGAGAAGAGUCUCCAUUGCUAACGGACUAGGACAGGAGGCAGGAGCACAGGAAAACGGCGGGAGGGGAACAAUGUAAGGUUAGUAAGUCAGCUGAGCCACGUGACCCGCACCGGAAGUCAAGCCCAGCCUUUCCUACAUUGGAAAGCAAAGAACGGGGUCUUUCCCACGCUGCAAAGUCACUGAAUGGAGCAUUUAGUACGCAGAAAGCCAGCCAGAGGGACAGUCCCUAGAUUUGAAGGUUGAAAAAGGUCAUUUCAGACACAAGAAGUCAGCGAGCAGUACAUCCCCUUCCUACAAGGUAGUGAGAAAGGAAGACCAACGACCAGCGAGACGGCCCCUUCCCACACAGGAAGUCGGCUAGAGCGGCCCUUCCGUACAAACCGGAAGCCGGGCUAGUCCGCGUUCCUAGACAGGAAGUAGGCGUGAGGCCGCUUUCCUCACGGAAGUCGUCGAGCGAGUCGUGCCCUCGCCCUGUCGCCAGAGGGCGCUGGGCGCCGAGCUGGAGAGGCGGGCAGGCGAGCGGCCCUGCUCGGGGAGCGAGGCCCGCAGGAGGAGGAAGUGGGGAGCAGGAAAGGAGCCCCAGAGGCCCGCAGAGUGCCCGCAGCCCCUCAGGCUGGCCAGUCAGUCACUGUAUAUCAUUACAACAUACACAUAUUCUUUUAAUGUGACCUCGAUCCUCUUCCUUUUGAAUCUGAGUGGGUUUGUGACAUUAGUGGAAGAGAAGCUACGUGACUUCUAAGCCUAGGUCCUAAGAGGAGAGGACACUGACCUCUGGAACCCAGUCGCCAUGCUGUGAGGAAGCUCAAGCAGCUGUGAAGAGACCUGCGUGAAGAAGAAACAAGCCCCACCAUCCAGGGUCCUGGCUGAGCUCCCAGACCACGGCCAGCACCAUCUGGGGCACCCUGUGAGUGACCAACAGCCGUAACUGACCUGCCCUCCCACCAGAAGAUGCUGCAUGGGACAGAGAGAAACUGUCUCCACCGAGCCCUGCCUCAAAAUAAAUGAUUGUGGUUCUUUUUU